UCGUGAGGCGCCCGCCUCGGCCUCCCAAAGUGCUGGGAUUACAGGCAUGAGCCACCGCAUCCGGCCCUGAAUCCUUUUCGUAGAUGGCUGUGGCCACGUAGGGUGGGAGUGUAAUUUUUAAAAAUGGAAAUCUAGGUAUUAUGGUUCCUCCUCCUCUUUAUUAUGUUAGAAUAAGAGGUCAGGCUGCUUUGGCGUGAAGGGUUCUGGGACUUGACGGUGUAGUUUGGUGCCCCCAGCCCAGUUCUCCCGAGUGCCUGGAGGCAUUACUGACCAUUCAUCAGUGGCAGGGAAGCUGCUCUCUGAAGGCGAGAGUUUGCAGAUGUCCUCACUUGCAGAAAGCUGAGAGAGGCAUGAAAAGAAAGGAGAGAAAAGGAAAAAUAGAAUGGUGAUGUCGAAUAUCACAAGAGGAAGAAACAGUCUGGAGAGAAGGCAAGGAGAGAACAGGAGAGACUCCAAAUCUCUGGUCUACCAGCUGGGACUGCCGGGGGACACCAUGGUCCUCACCCAGGUUACUUGUCCAUGCCCUUCCCACUGGAGAGGACGAGGUUAUUUUGUCCAUCCCUCAAUCUUGGGAGCAGAUCUCUCUUUCUUACAACAAAAGAAGGGGGCAGUCCCCACUCCUCAAGACCCCCAGAGGGAGAGUCCCAGCGUAUCCUCACGCUGGU